rnacentral:ncRNA from 2 species
GGCUCAUCGAGACCGGCCGAGGGACGAGGCCCUUUGACGCCGGGGCAACCGCCGGGCCCAACCAACCCGGAAAGGUGCCAACUCCUGCGGAGGGCUGCGAGCCCGCCGGCAGAUGAGCC